UUUGGCUGGAAUAGGGUUUCCAGUUUCCAAACCUGAUGUGAUCUCGCAGCUGGGACGAGCGUGGGUCCCGGACCUCCAGGGUUCUGAGAAAGAAGUGCUCCUGAGAGCUGCCUGCACAGGUGUUGGGAUGCUGAGUGAGAAUAAGGAGCAGAAACCCCAGUAGGAAGAUGCUGAUCAAAUAGAACUACAUGGGAAGUUCUCAAGAAGAUCAAAAAGGAAUGUUUCUGGGAGUUGUGCACUCCCAGAAAAAGAAACAGCCUGUGAGACUCAGCAGAGGCCAGAGAAAAACUUAAGUAGCCUCUCAGACCUUAUUCCACAGGAGAGAAUCAACUUUGAAGAGACACACUACACAUGCCAUGAGUGUGGGAAAAGCUUCAGUCAGUGCUCACACCUUAUCAGACAUUGUGGAAUCCACAUAGAAGAGAAACCCUACAUGUAGUCUGAGUGCCGGAAAUGCUUCAGUCAGAACUCACACCUUAUCAGACAUCAAAAAAUCCAUGUAAGAGAGAACUGUAAUAAAUG